UGUCCGCGAGCCUGAUCUUUCUCGGUUGUGUGACAAGAACCUGACUUUUCCUGCAGCACAAGUGAAUGCCAGUGAGAUGAAACCAAUAAACUUUGACCAAAGGAAGAAAUCUGAAUUCUAAUCCAAGGAGCAUGGAGAGAGGCACUUUGAGGUUUUCCAAGCUCUCGUCCUAUCUAUGCUUUGGGCGCUGAACAGGGAGGGGACCGUGAUGCCAUGCAUGGCCAACAGCAACGGAUGCCAAGCAAGGCUCAUGGCAUAAGACAGACUCGAGGAACUAAGCAGUGGUCACAGGCAGAGGGAGUUAGCAGUGGAGCUGACUGCAUUGGAAAGCCUUGGGAAAACAGCACGGAAAAUAACAGGCGGCCGGAGCCACGGCCAGGUUGGUGUUCCAUUAACCAAGUCGCUG
rnacentral:lncRNA from 1 species